ensembl:lncRNA
CCUGAUUGGGCAGUCUUCCUGUCUGUGCGAUUACUUGCAAACAUACAGACCAUGCGUGCAUGAAGGUUUGCGGGAUCCAGCUUAGCUCUCUUUAAGAAAUUCCACUUUCACACACACAUCAGAUUUUCUGCCACAAGAUGCUAUUGUAUGCAUCCUAAAAAUUGCUAUUUAAGAUACAAAACUUGAUAAUUCCUGGUAAGGUCAAUGAGAAUUGCUGAUGCUUAAUUUCUCAUAGAGAGGUACCAAAGCAAGGUAUUUUCUGUGUAGCUGAACCCCAUUAGUAUUACGGAGAUAAUGGCAUGUGCACUGGAAGGAAAACAGCCAGCUCAAAGAUGAGAGGAGACCACAUUUUUACGUAAUCAGCAGUUCAGCUAUUGAUUUUUUUUAAAGUAAGGCUUCAGCUGAAACCUUUCAGCAGGUGCUGUAACACAGAGCUUCGGGCAGAAGCUGAAUUUCAGGAAAUCAGAUGGAAUCUUAAUUCUACCUUAGAUUUCUGGCUGACCAUUUGUGGACUGCUAAGCACUGUUUCAAGUGACUUGAACCUGAAUUGCAGAUAGUGAACAGAUCACAAAUGGCAAAUGUCAUUUUUUUUAAACAACUCUGGCUGCUAUUUUAUCUGAAAAUCUUUUUUUUUUUUUUUUAAGAUUCCAGCUUCAUCUGGUUGGGUCAACUCAAAUGCAAUUAAAUUCAAGAGAGCUAAACUCCAUUUUUAGUGUUCACAUCAAUUAGUAGAUCAAGUUAAAGACAGGUAGACACAUCUAGGAGCUUAUUUUGAUCUGCAAACUCGUGUCAAGGUUGCAGACUGUCUGGACUCGAGUGUUACUUUGUUAUUUAACUUGACUUCGUAACUCAAAGUGAAAACUUAAGUCUCAUUCUUGCAAAUACAAGAGACUAUUGUUGCUGAUCUCCACCCUCUAGAGUCUGGGGAACCCGGAGGUGCAGGCAUCUACUUAUUGCGCCGUAUGGAUGCAUUUUGAUAAUAACCACACGAGGGCAGAAAAGAACAGACAUCUGCGGACAGCCAGACGGCAGCCUGAUUUAAGAGAAGCGUCAAGUUCUGAUAUUUUUUACAUCUCCCAGAGAAGCUUAGAUGCAGUUCCUGUGCCCACGCGUUCCUACUCGAGACACCAAGAAACCACCGAACUCCUGAGUCCUUUUGGUCCCUGAACUUCAUCCUCAAGUUUUGUCCAGUGGAGUCAUCACACACAAAAGUGUCUGCCACUGUCAGGAAAUGGGUGACUGAGACCAUACCUCUGUGAGGAGCAGCUGAGCACAAGCAGCAGAACAGCUACGACUUGCAGAACUGCGGCAGAGCCCAGAGACAAGGAUGCUUGAGUCUGUGUUUGCCUUCAUGCUCUUCUGAUGUGACACCAGCUCUGCAGUUCACUGAAUUUAAGAGUAUGUAUACAGUACCCAACCAAGAGGAGGCCAGCUGCAAGCAACGUUUUUUCUUGGUUCAGAUUCUGCUGAAGUUGUGAUAGUUUUUAGCGUAAAUGACUUUGCACUUACCUCUUCAUCCUUAACAGAGAUUUAAUGUCUGCGGAAGCAUGGUACAUUUUUCUCUUGUUUGGGUGCUUAGGACAUUUUAGGACAUAAAAAUCUAUUUCUUUCAAUUCUUCUCAAAUAGGCUGUCAAGUUGUCCAAGCAAAUUAGAGCUCUGGAAGAGGAAGACCUAAGAUAAAAUUCUGAACUUCACAUUCAAGCCAGAACCACAAGUUUACAUCAUACUACUUUGUGCUUUCUCUUCGUAAUUGUAUACAUGUAGAAUCAUAGAAUCAGGAAUCCUUGUAGUUGGAAGGGACCUUUUAAGGUCAUCUAAUCCAGCUCUCCUGCAAUGUGGACAUCCAGGGACAUCCAAUGCUAGAUCAGGUGCUCAGAGCCCCAUCCAGCCUCACCUUGAAUGUCUCCAGGGUCAGAGCUUCGACGACGUUCAUGGGCAAUAUGUUCCAGUGCCUCACUACACUCACUGUUUUCCUUACAGCCAACCUAAAUCUCCCCUGUUUCAGCUUGAAACCAUUUCUCCUUGUCUUAUCACCACAGAUCCAUCUACAGAGUCUGUCCUGUUCUUCUUGCAGCUCCUCUAUUGACACUGAGAGGCCUCUCUCAGGUCACCCUGGAGCAUUCUCUUCUCCAGGCCCCAGCCCUCCUAGCCUAUCCUCUUUGGAGAUAUAGUUUGUGAUACAGGAAGGCC